UACGUAGGGUGCAAGCGUUAUCCGGAAUUAUUGGGCGUAAAGAGCUCGUAGGCGGUUUGUCGCGUCUGCUGUGAAAACUGGAGGCUCAACCUCCAGCCUGCAGUGGGUACGGGCAGACUAGAGUGGCGGUAGGGGAGAUUGGAAUUCCUGGUGUAGCGGUGGAAUGCGCAGAUAUCAGGAGGAACCACCGAUGGCGAAGGCAGAUCUCGGGCCGUAAC
rnacentral:rRNA from 1 species